rnacentral:rRNA from 1 species
CGUAGGGUGCGAGCGUUAAUCGGAAUUACUGGGCGUAAAGCGUGCGCAGGCGGUUUGUUAAGAUAGGCGUGAAAUCCCCGGGCUCAACCUGGGAACUGCGCUUAUGACUGGCAAGCUAGAGUACGGCAGAGGGGGUGGAAUUCCACGUGUAGCAGUGAAAUGCGUAGAGAUGUGGAGGAACACCAAUGGCGAAGGCAGCCCCCUGGGUCGAUACUGACGCUCAUGCACGAAAGCGUGGGUAGCAAACAGGAUUAGAUACCCUGGCAGUCCACGCCCUAAACGAUGUCAACUAGGUGUUGGAUGGGUAAAACCAUUUAGUACCGGAGCUAACGCGUGAAGUUGACCGCCUGGGGAGUACGGCCGCAAGGUUA